rnacentral:rRNA from 1 species
CCUACGGGCGGCUGCAGUGGGGAAUAUUGGACAAUGGGGGGAACCCUGAUCCAGCCAUGCCGCGUGUGUGAAGAAGGCCCUCGGGUUGUAAAGCACUUUCAGUGAGGAAGAACGCCUGGUGGUUAAUACCCAUCAGGAAAGACAUCACUCACAGAAGAAGCACCGGCUAACUCCGUGCCAGCAGCCGCGGUAAUACGGAGGGUGCGAGCGUUAAUCGGAAUUACUGGGCGUAAAGCGCGCGUAGGUGGCUUGAUAAGCCGGUUGUGAAAGCCCCGGGCUCAACCUGGGAACGGCAUCCGGAACUGUCAAGCUAGAGUGCAGGAGAGGAAGGUAGUAUUCCCGGUGUAGCGGUGAAAUGCGUAGAGAUCGGGCGGAAUACCAGUGGCGAAGGCGGCCUUCUGGACUGACACUGACACUGAGGUGCGAAAGCGUGGGUAGCAAACAGGAUUAGAUACCCGGGUAGUA